AACAAACGAGCACAGCAUCACAUUACCUGGGCAACUGAGCUAGUGUGGUGUGUUAGGACAGAUUCCAUCACCGGCAGACACACUGCAGGGAGAAGCCUUGCCAGAAUUUGUGCAGACUGGAGAGCAUGACUGAUGGAGGACAAAACCCUCCAGUUCUGGAUUGAAGGGGAAACUAGAUGUCACAGAGGUCAAUAGAUCUGAGUUCAUCUGGUAGUGGCAGGGCUUGCAAUAGUGAGUACGGAGAAGAAACCUGAGUCCCCAAAUGAGAAGCAGCCCUGCUCCCAUUGAACUGUACUGGCCAUGUGCCUCCACUUCCUAUUCACGUUUAUUCACCAAGCGUUCUGGUGGUUGCCUAUGCUACAGAUGGAAUGCAAAACAAUAAAAUUAUGAUUGCUGGUACACAUCUUGAAGUAAUAGAAUUCCUUGUUAGUACUUUGUAUCCAGCUGUGAUGUCCGAAAUAAACUGAACGUAGUUUUUAA